UGAACGCUGGCGGCGUGCCUCAUACAUGCAAGUCGAGCGAACAGACGAGGAGCUUGCUCCUCUGACGUUAGCGGCGGACGGGUGAGUAACACGUGGAUAACCUACCUAUAAGACUGGGAUAACUUCGGGAAACCGGAGCUAAUACCGGAUAAUAUAUUGAACCGCAUGGUUCACUAGUGAAAGACGGUUUUGCUGUCACUUAUAGAUGGAUCCGCGCCGCAUUAGCUAGUUGGUAAGGUAACGGCUUACCAAGGCAACGAUGCGUAGCCGACCUGAGAGGGUGAUCGGCCACACUGGAACUGAGACACGGUCCAGACUCCUACGGGAGGCAGCAGUAGGGAAUCUUCCGCAAUGGGCGAAAGCCUGACGGAGCAACGCCGCGUGAGUGAUGAAGGUCUUCGGAUCGUAAAACUCUGUUAUUAGGGAAGAACAAAUGUGUAAGUAACUAUGCACGUCUUGACGGUACCUAAUCAGAAAGCCACGGCUAACUACGUG
rnacentral:rRNA from 1 species